rnacentral:rRNA from 1 species
UACAGAGGUCUCAAGCGUUGUUCGGAUUCAUUGGGCGUAAAGGGUGCGUAGGCGGCGCGGUAAGUCGGGUGUGAAAUCUCGGAGCUUAACUCCGAAACUGCAUUCGAUACUGCCGUGCCUGAGGACUGGAGAGGAAGGUGGAAUGCUUGGUGUAGAGGUGAAAUUCGUAGAUAUCAAGCGGAACACCGGUGGCGAAGGCGGCCUUCUGGACAGUGACUGACGCUGAGACGCGAAAGCGUGGGGAGCAAACAGG